UGUCGACUGGGAUAAUGGUAGUCCACCGCAUUGUUAAUGCGGAAGUUGUUGGUGCAAAUCCAACCUCGACAGCCA
rnacentral:tRNA from 1 species